AAGACACUAGUAAAAUAGACCAUUACACCGCCUUGUCAAGACGAAGUCGCGGGUUAAACCCCCGCGUGUCUUA
rnacentral:tRNA from 1 species